rnacentral:rRNA from 1 species
UACGUAGGGGGCUAGCGUUGUCCGGAAUCAUUGGGCGUAAAGCGCGUGUAGGCGGUCCGGUAAGUCCGCUGUGAAAGUCGGGGGCUCAACCUCGGAUGCCGGUGGAUACUGUCGGGCUAGAGUGCGGAAGAGGCGAGUGGAAUUCCCGGUGUAGCGGUGAAAUGCGUAGAUAUGGGAGGAACACCUGUGGCGAAAGCGGCUC